rnacentral:rRNA from 1 species
CAAAGGUUUGGUCCUAGUCUUCCUAUUAAUUUUUACUACACUUACACAUGCAAGUAUCUGCACUCCCGUGAAAAUGCCCUUUACUACCAAAAAGGUAGAACAGGAGCGGAUAUCAGGCACUUACAUUGCCAAAGACAUCUUGUUUAACCACACCCCCAAGGGAACUCAGCAGUGAUAAACAUUGAAUAUGAGCGACAUCAAGCUCGAAUCAGCGAUAGUAGAUAGAGUCGGUAAAUCUCGUGCCAGCCACCGCGGUUAUACGAGAGACUCAAAUUAAUCCAAUCGGCCCAAAGAGUGGUUAGACGUGUAAAUAAAAUAUGGUUAAAAACUAACUCUGCUGUCACACGCAAAAGUUUAAAACAAACACAACAUCGAAAGUAACCCUACAAUAGCAACAUUGAACCCACGACAGCUAGGGCACAAACUGGGAUUAGAUACCCCACUAUGCCUAGCCAUAAACUUUGAUUUAUCCGCCCGAGUACUACGAGCAACAGCUAAA